rnacentral:rRNA from 1 species
UGCAUGGAUUGCUACAUUGACAUGCUCAUUACGCAUUGACAAGCUCAUGGCUGCUAAUACCCCAUAGGCUGAGGAGCAAAAGGAGGAAUUCGCUAGAGGGGAGGCUCACGUCUGAUUUAGCUAGUUAGUGAGGCAAUAGCUUACCAAGGUGAUGAUCAGUAGCUUGUCCGAGAGGAUGAUCAGCCACACUGGGACUGAGACACGGCCCAGACUCUUAUGGGAGGCAGCA